CCAGCUGCUCCAAGCCAGGCUGAAGGAGGAGAAGGAGGAGUCGCCUGUGGUAGGGUCGAGCAGAUGACGUGGCUCUGCAGCUUGCCUCAUGCAGUUGGUGGUGGAGAUGGAGACCGCAGCUCGACUGGAGUGGUAUGAGGGCACCCACGGGGGCCAGGUGAGUAUUGUCAUGUGCAUGAGCAAACCUGGAUCAUCACCACAUCUUUGCAAGAGGAAAAAGAAUGGGAGGGAAUCAUGUGUAUAAUGUUGUUAAGGCAAAGAUUCACAACCA
rnacentral:lncRNA from 1 species